rnacentral:rRNA from 1 species
CAAUAGCGUAUAUUAAAGUUGUUGCAGUUAAAAGCUCGUAGUCGGAUUUCGGGUCGGGCCGAGCGGUCUGCCGAUGGGUAUGCACUGUUUGGCGCGGCCUUCUUUCCGGAGACCGCGGCUACUCUUAACUGAGCGGGCGUGGGAGACGGAUCGUUUACUUUGAAAAAUCAGAGUGUUUCUAGCAGGCAGCCUCGCUCUUGCAUAGGUUAGCAGUGGGAUUAAUUUAAGUAGGACUCUGGUGCUUAUUUUUGGUUUGGUUUACGAACCACCGGGAGUAAUGAAGUUAAAAGGGGCAGUCGAGGGGCACUCGUAUUCCGUCGAGAGAGGUGAAAUUCUCAGACCAAUGGAAGACGAACCACUGCGAAAGCAUUUGCCAGGGAUUGUUUUCACUGAUCAAGAACGAAAGUUAGGGGAUCGAAGAUGAUUAGAUACCGU